rnacentral:lncRNA from 1 species
CCGCCCAUACCUUACCCCGCUCCUCCUUUAUAAGGCCGACGUCGGUGCCCCCGAACCCUAGCCCCUCCGUCCUCCAUUGCGCCGCCACCAGUGCUGUGACCUCCAAGCGUCGCCGCCUCUGCCAUCGAUUCGUCGCCGGUGGUAAGCCGCCAUUCGAUUCCUUCCAGAUGAACCUUCCUCUUGAACUCACGCAUCCGUUUUACCCCUUUGCUCCCACCUUCUUUAAUCAUGCAGGUCACCCGGCGGCGAGCUUCCUCCGCCUGUCACUGCUGUUCCUCCACCAUUGCUGCUGUCCCUUGCUUCCAAGCAGCUGACGGUGAGGUGGCCUGAGCUAGACAUUGCCUCUUCUUCCUUGUGCCCGUGCUUGUGCUCUUGGUAGUCCUCUCCAAAUUCUGCACUGCGGUAACCUUGCUAUCUUGACCGGCUCUGCUCUCUGCGCGUUGGCG